rnacentral:rRNA from 1 species
AUUGAACGCUGGCGGCAGGCCUAACACAUGCAAGUCGAACGAGUGGCGGACGGGUGAGUAAUGUCUGGGAAACUGCCUGCUGGAGGGGGAUAACUACUGGAAACGGUAGCUAAUACCGCAUACCAUACGAUGUGCCCAGAUGGGCUUAGCUAGUUGGUGGGGUAAAGGCUCACCAAGGCGACGAUCCCUAGCUGGUCUGAGAGGAUGACCAGGCACACGGGAACUGAGAAACGGUCCAGAAUCCUACGGGAGGAAGCAGUGGGGAAUAGUGCACAAUGGGCGCAAGCCUGAUGCAGCCAUGCCGCGUGUCUGAAGAAGGCCUGCGGGUUGUAAAGUACUUUCAGCGGGGAGGCGUUACCCGCAGAAGAAGCACCGGCUAACUCCGUGCCAGCAGCCGCGGUAAUUC